UGCUGUGCCUCACUCCUCCCCUAGCAGCCUCUUGCCACAACACUUAUCCAGAAAGUUACAAAACGAGGUUCACUUUUUUUCUUUCUUUUUUUCCCCAGGAAAGCGCUCCAGCUGCCUGGCAGGUGUUUCCCCUGGGGAGGAAGUGCUCUGACCGGAGAGGGAACACUGUAAAGUCUCAGAACAUCCAGGCUUUCUCCAAGCCUAGAUAUUUCAGUUUCAACAAGCUCUUUUGGUGGCACUAUCCAACCGUCCAACUUCUGUACAAGUUUCUAUGCCUUUGUGAGAAUAAGUGAAAGAUAAUAUCAAGUCCUUCCGGAGGUUCAGAGCCAGAAAGAACCAAUAAGAUCCACACUCCACAAGUCCUACAAUGACGGCGAUUAAACUCUGCAGCCGUGUGGCACACCAGGACUGCCCAUCUGCCGCCCAGAGCUGCUCCAUCGCUCCCUUUCACUAAAGGGACUUCAGGUGAAAACUGGGAGUAAGGCUGGACCACGCUGCUAAUUUUGUUUCUCAACAGUCUUCCCCCAAGAGUGCCUUGCUCCCUUUCCCGUGCCGUGGGUAGACAUGAGCCUGCCCCGUGAGCAGGCACCUGGGGCAGUGGGCAGGGGCUGUCGUGCCACCAGUGCGUGCCCGUGGACUGGGUGCACUGGGGUGGAUGGCCAGGGCUGGCAUCGAUGCCUCUUCUCUACAGCAGGACUGACUUGACGAACAGGCAGUUAGAAAAGGA
rnacentral:lncRNA from 1 species